UAUCUCGUAUAAGUCCAUUGCAUACUGGAACCGGGUGGUCCCUGUAUUAAGCCUAUGGGAGUGAGAGAAUUCAGUAGUCCACGGGUUAACAACAUAAUACCCGCGAGGCUAGACUAGACUGCGCGCGCUGGCGCUAGCGCGCUCGCUGCUUAAUGCAGUAUAUAGCCAGGCGGCCAUGCCAUGCCAGGCCUUGUACGUAUGUACUACUAAGUUACGUCUACGGUAGAUCGACUGAAUUCAACCAGAAGUUGCCGGUUGCAAUCGCGAGGAUUGAAGCGUGUUCUUCGGCAACACUGAGGCAGCAUUUGAGAAGAAAUAUCCCUCAGGCUCAGCUCACCAAUCGAAGGACAAGGACAAGGGUUCUAUCCAGAGUUUCCAAGCACAAUUUUUGUAGGGUGUUUUCUGCAGCUGUGACCCAUGCAUACACACCCUAGCCUCCAGCACAGCAUUGACCACCCAGCUAAUCUCAUUCAGCAUUUUCCUUGGCAACAUUAAGGCAGCAUUUGAGAAGAAUUAACCUUCAACUCACCAACCUGCUCUUAGGCAUUUUCUUCAAGGAUGCUAUCCACAGAUGCCAAAUGUCGAAGUUGUACCACCACAAGCUAGACAAGAUUUUGAUUCCGACUAACCCAUUCUUUAAAGGUCCAUUGCCUUAGGAAAUUAAAACUUUUAUGUCUUGUAUCAAGACCCUUUUAAAGCAACAUAAUAACAAUUGUUUCAUAAAUAAAUGCCUCCUUAUAUUUUUUACAAUUUUUUGAAAACCUCUCCAAGUUGCUCGUCUAAUGGUGGACCCCGCCCUUAAAAUUCUCAGAGUUCCUCGGAAUGAUUGACCAAAGGAUUAGUGAUGUUAUAUCAAGAACGAUCUCCGCUUAGGCAAGCUACGGUGCUUGCUAGCCAGCUCUGCAGGCAUUAUGUUUUGUACACAAACAUAAACAAUUACUUUUGUUAUUAAAUAGUGUGCUAUGCAUCUUUACUUGUUAUUUAUUGUGGUGAAAUUUCACUAAUGGCCCAAUUUUAAAAAGAGAGCUAUACCAUGAGUCGAAGAAGAUCGUAAUUGAUUUGAAUGCCUGUAUAACGUGUCAACUAAAUGCAUGCUAUAAAGAAUUUCAAAGGUAAGAAAAAAAUGUUUCAUAUAUCUAAGUGACUGAAUGUUUUUCGUACUACCUUCUUCUCAAUUUAAAGAAAUAUUGAAAGUGGUAUAUCAGAGUGAAGAAACUUGUGUUUUUCCCUUUACAAGCUCUGCUCUUUCUUACUUCACUUUCAAAUUUCCUCUCUUGUUAUAUAAACAUUUAGCGAUUGCUUUACUUCACACAUUCAAGCAAUGUAUACUAUCCCUCCUAAAAAAAAAGUUUGUAGAUGUGUUAACAAUAGAUAUGGCGACGAAAUGUAUCAGCAUCUCUGAAAUGCCUAAGCAUAAAAAAUGUUGGCAAUUUCUCUGAAUUUUAUUUUUUUAAUUUUUUAUGGAACAUUGUUUACAUUAAUUGCCUAGUUCUUGGCAUGCAAAUGGUGGACACUUUAUUAAUUUCUUUAUAUUUUUGUGCUGUACAUAUGUAGAGGAAUCUUGUCAUAAGCAAUCGUGUUCGUCUGCCAGAAAGUUUUUUUUUGUUUUACUCGGGAAAUUGUGAGGAUUGUUUAUUAUAUUCGUACAAUGAAUUUCAGUAUGUUAUGUUGUGUUACGUGUAAGCGACAAUUCAUUUUUAUAACAGCUCCUAUCGUCCUAGCAUUCAUUGAUAGUAGGCCUAUAUUGUGACACAUUGAGAUACCUUGAACUUGAAACUACGUUUACAUCUUUUUCGAAUUCACGAAAAUACAAAAGAAAGAUGUACAAUAAUUGUAUUCACAUUUACAACA
rnacentral:lncRNA from 1 species